rnacentral:lncRNA from 13 species
CUCAAGCUAGCUUAAUAAAAGUCAAUGAUCUGAGACUUAUGUUUCAGUCACUCAUUUUGGUCAACAGAAAACUCUCAAGAAAUUUCCUUUUCAUAUCUUUUAAGCAGACUCAAACACACACACAUACACACACACGGCUUUUUCUUAGCUAGGUCAGUAUGCCAAUCAACAUCUUACCAGUACUAGAAUAUGCUUAAAUUUUGAAGGGAAGAUGGAGCUUCGUGAAAGAUAGGGAGUUGUCCCAUCAUUUCUGAUUAUUACAACUCAUCUUUCUUCAGGCCAGAUUUUUUUUACUGAUGCGUAAAUACAAGUUUUCACAACUUUCUUGAAAACCAUUUCAUUUUUACCAUUACCAUGUAUCCAAAUCAAUCAUGUGUUUACUAUUAUGUAAUUACCUUGUAACUUAAAUGUUUCUGUAGCUUCUUGUAAUCCAGUGUCAUAGACUCACAUUCAAAGAAACACCAGUUGGGCAUAAAAAUAUAAUUAGAAGCAAGGGAAAUUUUACUCAUGCCCUUGAGAAAUUACCAAAGUGUGGUCAGGGUAAUUAUACUUCUUUUAAGUUCUCUAGACCUCAUUCUCAUUCUCUCACAUGUCUGCAGGGGCAGAUUUACCAUCAUGCUAAUGGAACUCUAACAUCAAUGACCCAGUUGCACAGGUGUUUUCCACGGUCAUACAGAAAAAAAGUCCUAGCAAUGUGUUCCCAUGGACCUACAUGAUUUUUUUGCAAAUUUUUUGUAAAUAAUGUAUUUUCACUUCAGUCUGUUGCGAGCACUGUCUCUUUCCAUUUUCACUUUCACAUUUUGCCUCAGAUUAGUAUCAUUGGAGUGGCUGCUGUUAAAACUUGUGCUUUGAAUGAAGAGAUCCUCCAAACAGGCUUUGUGUGAGCAACAUGGCUGUUUUUCACCUGGGUGCAGGAAGAGCCCCCACAAAGUUAAAAGUUUCAGUCUUCUGGAUCUACCUUGCAGGUGAGGAAAAAAAUCUCGCUGCCCUCUCUCUGGCUCCUUCCCAGAAAACUUUCCUGACAGCCAGACAGGCUGGCUCUAAGCACCACCUCCUGCUUAGCAGUGCCCCAUCACCACUCCAGUCUCCCUGUUGUGUUCUUACAUACACCUCUCUUGCUCACAAAUCUCUUGCUAAGUAUCUGUGUCUUCUUUUCCUUUAAUAACUGCUUUCUUUUUAAGAAGUAGCUCUGUGUUUUGGAAGUAAACAUAAAUAAAAUCCUCCAUCUCUUCCA